GGUUAGCUACAUUAUAAAUACUUUAAAACAUUGUGGACGGUUGAUUUGUUUAGGAUAGCUACAUUAAAGAUACGGGGGAAAAAAAAGCGAGCAUGAACUUCGGGGAACUUCGAGUGUGACUCUCUCGUCUGUGAAAUGAAGGCUUCCCGUCACGUGGAUGUCAUCUUCACAGUAUACGGUUUUACAACAUAACAAAAUUGUGAUAUUCGUGAAUAUGACAUAACAACCUGGCUGUCAUUAAGAAAAAAAGGCUAAGAUUUUCACUCGAGGAAACUUUCUAAAGCUUUAUUGAAUACAUAUAUAUUUUUUAAAAUCCAGUAAAGUGAGUGUUUUUUCUCAACUGGUAAUUGCUCAAAUAUUAAAUAACGAAGAAAAUUGUCCAGGACUGAGCGCUGUGGAAAGGCAAUUGUGGAAUAUCAUGGAAUCACCCCACCAUGGAAACCCCAGGGACGAAGCACUGGGCCGAGACUCUUUGGCAGUGCGACCAGCAUUGGGACGUACCAGGUGGCGUUGACACUCCACCGACCGACAACAGCUGCUUGCUGGAGAAAUGUCGAGGGCCGGGCUUGCAGUCAGCACUGGACAGUAGCAAGUCAGCUGCACUCGCGUGUCGGCAAGUACAGUAGAGUCUCACUAAUCCGGACUUGUCCGGACCGGACCCUGUCCGGAUCACCGAAAGUCCGGAUCAUCCGUAAACAACUUUAAAAUGUAUCAAAAACAAGUUUU